rnacentral:rRNA from 1 species
AGCAGUCGCCACGGUAAUACGUAGGUCCCGAGCGUUGUCCGGAUUUAUUGGGCGUAAAGCGAGCGCAGGCGGUUAGAUAAGUCUGAAGUUAAAGGCUGUGGCUUAACCAUAGUACGCUUUGGAAACUGUUUAACUUGAGUGCAGAAGGGGAGAGUGGAAUUCCAUGUGUAGCGGUGAAAUGCGUAGAUAUAUGGAGGAACACCGGUGGCGAAAGCGGCUCUCUGGUCUGUAACUGACGCUGAGGCUCGAAAGCGUGGGGAGCAAACAGGAUUAGAUACCCCUGUAGUCCCUGUCUCUUAUACU